rnacentral:misc_RNA from 1 species
AACCAUAGAAACCUGCGGAGUACCUGCGGAAGGAUCAUUACCGAGUUAUACAACUCAUCAACCCCUGUGAACUUACCUACAACGUUGCUUCGGCGGGAACAGACGGCCCCGUAAAACGGGCCGCCCCCGCCAGAGGACCCCUAACUCUGUUUUUAUAAUGUUUUUCUGAGUAAACAAGCAAAUAAAUUAAAACUUUCAGCAAUGGAUCU